ACGGACUGUUUUGACCAUCUUAAACUUAAUAUCUUUCAAAACUGUACAAUAUGCAAAUAGUUCAAGUUUAUACCUUUCUAAUGACUACUCGCACGCGUUCAUACGAUUUUUCUACAAUUUAUGGCGAUUUUUAUAAAACUGCCUGUCAUUUCAGAAGUGAUUUCGGACCAGUCUGUGAAGAUGUUCAUUUUCACACUAGUUUGAGACCACUAAAAAUCAUAAUAAAAAUUAGGAACAAAGUAGACUCAUUUUAUAAACUCUCAGAGGUGACGGAUUCAGUUUUUGACUUACGAUGAUUUUUCUAUGAGUUUUCUAAAAACAGGGACAGUAAAGGGUAAAACUGUCAAAAGUGGUUUAUAGAUUUAUUAACACCUUCUAACAUUUUUGAGCAAUGUUUAUUCAUUAAGGAAGUUAAAACACAAUCAUCUAAAUUUGUUUAAUGACCAUUUUUACAAAAGUANAAAUAGUUCAAGUUUAUACCUUUCUAAGGACUACUCGCACGCGUUCAUACGAUUUUUCUACAAUUUAUGGCGAUUUUUAUAAAACUGCCUGUCAUUUCAGAAGUGAUUUCGGACCAGUCUGUGAAGAUGUUCAUUUUCACACUAGUUUGAGACCACUAAAAAUCAUAAUAAAAAUUAGGAACAAAGUAGACUCAUUUUAUAAACUCUCAGAGGUGACGGAUUCAGUUUUUG
rnacentral:lncRNA from 1 species